GACGAACGCUUUCGGCGUGCUUAACACAUGCAAGUCGAACGGAAAGGCCCUGCUUUUGUGGGGUGCUCGAGUGGCGAACGGGUGAGUAACACGUGAGUAACCUGCCCUUGACUUUGGGAUAACUUCAGGAAACUGGGGCUAAUACCGGAUAGGAGCUCCUGCUGCAUGGUGGGGGUUGGAAAGUUUCGGCGGUUGGGGAUGGACUCGCGGCUUAUCAGCUUGUUGGUGGGGUAGUGGCUUACCAAGGCUUUGACGGGUAGCCGGCCUGAGAGGGUGACCGGCCACAUUGGGACUGAGAUACGGCCCAGACUCCUACGGGAGGCAGCAGUGGGGAAUAUUGCACAAUGGGCGGAAGCCUGAUGCAGCAACGCCGCGUGCGGGAUGACGGCCUUCGGGUUGUAAACCGCUUUCGCCUGUGACGAAGCGUGAGUGACGGUAAUGGGUAAAGAAGCACCGGCUAACUACGUGCCAGCAGCCGCGGUGAUACGUAGGGUGCGAGCGUUGUCCGGAUUUAUUGGGCGUAAAGGGCUCGUAGGUGGUUGAUCGCGUCGGAAGUGUAAUCUUGGGGCUUAACCCUGAGCGUGCUUUCGAUACGGGUUGACUUGAGGAAGGUAGGGGAGAAUGGAAUUCCUGGUGGAGCGGUGGAAUGCGCAGAUAUCAGGAGGAACACCAGUGGCGAAGGCGGUUCUCUGGGCCUUUCCUGACGCUGAGGAGCGAAAGCGUGGGGAGCGAACAGGCUUAGACACCCUGGUAGUCCACGCUGUAAACGGUGGGUACUAGGUGUGGGGUCCAUUCCACGGGUUCCGUGCCGUAGCUAACGCUUUAAGUACCCCGCCUGGGGAGUACGGCCGCAAGGCUAAAACUCAAAGGAAUUGACGGGGCCCCGCACAAGCGGCGGAGCAUGCGGAUUAAUUCGAUGCAACGCGUAGAACCUUACCUGGGUUUGACAUGGAUCGGGAGCGCUCAGAGAUGGGUGUGCCUCUUUUGGGGUCGGUUCACAGGUGGUGCAUGGCUGUCGUCAGCUCGUGUCGUGAGAUGUUGGGUUAAGUCCCGCAACGAGCGCAACCCUUGUUCACUGUUGCCAGCACGUUAUGGUGGGGACUCAGUGGAGACCGCCGGGGUCAACUCGGAGGAAGGUGGGGAUGACGUCAAGUCAUCAUGCCCCUUAUGUCCAGGGCUUCACGCAUGCUACAAUGGCUGGUACAGAGAGUGGCGAGCCUGUGAGGGUGAGCGAAUCUCGGAAAGCCGGUCUCAGUUCGGAUUGGGGUCUGCAACUCGACCUCAUGAAGUCGGAGUCGCUAGUAAUCGCAGAUCAGCAACGCUGCGGUGAAUACGUUCCCGGG
rnacentral:rRNA from 1 species